UACGGGGGGAGCAAGCGUUGUUCGGAUUUACUGGGCGUAAAGGGCGCGUAGGCGGCCACCGCAAGUCGACUGUGAAAUCUCCGGGCUUAACCCGGAAAGGUCAGCCGAUACUGCGGGGCUAGAGUGCAGAAGGGGCAACUGGAAUUCUCGGUGUAGCGGUGAAAUGCGUAGAUAUCGGGAGGAACACCAGUGGCGAAGGCGGCGACCUGGGCCAAUACUGACGCUGAGGUGCGAAAGCGUGGGGAGCAAACAGG
rnacentral:rRNA from 1 species